UGAAGCCGGAAUUGCUAGUAAUGGCAGGUCAGCAUACUGCCGUGAAUACGUUCCCGGGCCUUGUACACACCGCCCGUCACACCAUGAGAGUUGGGAAUACCCGAAGCCUGUGAGCUAACGAAAGAGGCAGCAGUCGAAGGUAGAAUCAAUGAUUGGGGUGAAGUCGUAACAAGGUAAC
rnacentral:rRNA from 1 species